rnacentral:rRNA from 1 species
GACGAACGCUGGCGGCGUGCUUAACACAUGCAAGUCGAACGGAAAGGCCCUGCUUUUGUGGGGUGCUCGAGUGGCGAACGGGUGAGUAACACGUGAGUAACCUGCCCUUGACUUUGGGAUAACUUCAGGAAACUGGGGCUAAUACCGGAUAGGAGCUCCUGCGGCAUGUUGGGGGUUGGAAAGUUUCGGCGGUUGGGGAUGGACUCGCGGCUUAUCAGCUUGUUGGUGGGGUAGUGGCUUACCAAGGCUUUGACGGGUAGCCGGCCUGAGAGGGUGACCGGCCACAUUGGGACUGAGAUACGGCCCAGACUCUUACGGGAGGCAGCAGUGGGGUAUAUUGCACAAUGGGCGGAAGCCUGAUGCAGCAACGCCGCGUGCGGGAUGACGGCCUUCGGGUUGUAAACCGCUUUCGCCUGUGACGAAGCGUGAGUGACGGUAAUGGGUAAAGAAGCACCGGCUAACUACGUG